rnacentral:ncRNA from 1 species
AGAUUGAAAAGCUAAACUUGUUGUGAAGCAAGGACAGAAAGUCAUGGGUCUUGAUGAAAAAGAUCGCCAGACUGCACAA